AGAUAGCAGUCUCAAGCAGCCAUUGCAAUCGGAACUGGUUUUAAAAGUGAAAAAGAUUCUACUCCAAAGUCAGUGAUCCAGACAGUGAGGGAUUACAAGCAUUGUGUAGAGAAGGGUCAGUGUUAAUAAGAGUUACCCUUUUAGUUUACAGCCCUAUAAAAAAGGAUUAUUGGAAGGCCCUGUUGCAGAAAAACUGUGUCCCUGCAAAAAUACUAGCUUUGUAUAAACUAGGCAUUUCAGAGGACUUUUGAUCUUGGUGCAGCAGGGUCUUGCUAGACAACUAACCAUUAUUUUCUAAAUAGCCUCGGUUUAGGCAUGGGUGGGUUUUGUGGGGGUGGUGGGGCUUUGUUUGUUUCCUUUUAAAACUAUUUUAACUCAGUUUUCAACAUGGGCUUCUAGCUUUGUCCCAAAUGUUACCAGUAUGUUCUUCUGCAUUAAGACUGCAGAUGAGAUGUAACCCUUCUGAAGUAAAGAACCUGACACUGGAAGAGACAGCAUUCAUCCCAUUUUUCGAUGAUCCCAGAACUAAAGUUCAGCUUCAGUCAGUUUUGUGAAGAAGCAAUACCAGCCUCUCUGGUAACAGUGACUGCCUCACCUAGUUCAGUUUGUGUCACGUUACGAUUUCUUCUCAAUGUAAUAUGAUUAAAAUAGAUAAUAAUGCCAAACAAGUUUGUCUGCAUUGGUUAAGCACACCUUGGCCAUUCUGACCAGGAUCCAGCUGUUUAAGUAGCUUUACAUACAGAGACAAUGCAGGUGUGUUUCAAAACUUUGGAAUAUUCAAAACAAGACAGUAUACAUUUGGGCAGGGGUUUUUUGCACUAUUGUAAAAUCCUUGACUAUUUCAAUAUUCACAUUCAGUGUUUUAACCACAACUGAUUUUAUUGCAGAAUGAAAACAGAUGCAUGUGUGAAAAAGGCCAAGUAUUUGCCCUAAUGGCAAAAAAAAUCUGUCUUCACAAGAUGCACAACCAACAUCUCAACACCAGAGUUAGGAUAUAAGUUGUCUGUUAGACCAGCAGUCCUGGAUGCAUCUACCUGCACUGUGAUCUGGAUUUCUAAAGAGGUAAGAGCCUCAAAUGAAGACAUGCAUCAGGAGCCUGAGCACCAGGCUUCUCGCAGCCUUCCAGAUCUGAAAGCAAAACCGACUCUGCCGACAGCUUCAGGCCAGAAAGCUGACCAUAUCCUGGCCUGCAUCCAACGAAGCAUGACCAGCAGGUCGAGGGAAGUGAUUCUGCACCUCUGCUCUCGUGAGACCCACCUGGAGUACCGCAUCCGACUCCUGAGUCCUUGGUAAAGCAGGUCAAGGAGAGCCACAAAAAUGAUCAGAGGGCUGGAGCACCUCUCCUAAGACAGGCUGAGAGAACUGGGGUUGUUCAGCCCGGAGAAGAGGCUCUGGGGAGACCUUAUUGUGGCCUUUCAGUACUUAAAGAGGGCUUUUAAGAAAGAUGGGGACAAACAUUUUAGUGCGGCCUGUAGCAAUAGGACAAGGCUUAGUGGUUUUAAACUGAAAGAGGGUAGAUUCAGACUAGAUAGAAGAAAUUUUUUAUGAUGAGGGUGGUGAAACACUAAGAGAGGUUGCCCAGAGAGGUGGCAGAUGCUCCGUGCCUGGGAACAUUCAAGGUCAGGUUGGACAGGGCUGUAAGCAACCUGAUCUAGUUGAAGAUGUCCCUGCUUCCUGCAGGGGGGCUGGACUAGGGCACCUUUAAAGGUCCCUUCCAACACAAACCAUUCUGUGAUUCUGUAAACUACCACUAUCAUUCCAGCCACUGUGUAUUUAUAUAUACUUGAGGAAGUCGAGGUCCUUUGUUGGAGGAAAAAUGCUAGAUCAAUGCUGCUGUAGGCUGUACACCUCAGCUUUGUCCACUGUAUAGCCCAAACCAGGACUGCAAGUGCAGUCAGCUGAUAGAUGCUAGACAAUAGAAGUUUAAUAUUAUUAAGAUUAUGCCUGACAGUUCAAAGGAGCUUUUUAGAACAGGAGACCCUGACCUUUAGAAGGCUGAAACGAUGGAGAUUGUCUAUUGUGAUUACUCAGAACUGGGACGUAUGGAACCUGAAGCAAUCAUCCGUGAAAGAAGCAGCAGAAUAGUGAAGUGAUCAAGAUACGGAACAAUUUGUGAAACCAACUGUCAAGACAGGAACUGAUAGAAGACUUAUUGUGGAAUCAAGAGAUUAUGUAAUGUUUAGGUAGAUACUAUAAAUAAGUAACUGAAAAUCUUGUAAGCUUGUCACUCUCUGCAGAGGUGACCCAACGCUGCUGGACCAAUUAAAACUGCAAACCUACAGUAAGCCAUGAGAGUUCGAGUCUCUUCUUUUACACCCUUCACAACUGAAAUUUUACUGUGCAGGUUCUGAAUUGCCUUGAAAUUCUCAAGAGCUUUGCUCCAAAACAUCCCUUCCAGAGAUACUGAUAUUCAGGUCCUGGACUGAACACCAUACCUGAGGUUGUUUUACAGCAGGGCAGCAAAGUUUUGUAGAACAAGUGAGGCUGAGAGACUGCCCAGACACAUUCUCCCCCACCCAUGUGGCAGCACCUUCAGAAAACACUUUUCUAUUCAUUCCUGAUAGUUCUAAACAUCUCUAACAAAAUUUCACCAAUGUCCUCCCUCCUGAAGCAGUGCUGCUGUUACCACAGAUAGCAAUGCAAAGAUGUUCAAAGGAAAUGGUCUGAAACACUUGGAAGCUAAAGGUCACAAUAAGCAGGAAAAGAAAAUACUUUACCAUGUACAUGAGACUGCUGGAAACUUUUUGCUGGUGCAAAGUGGAAAUUGCCAGCUACCUGCAGGAGACAGUAAUCUUUCAUUAAAAGGCCUGAAUCUACAUAAAUAAAGCAGUCAUACCAGCGGCUGGAUUUUCAAAUCUUUGAAUAAGAUAGACAAUAAGCAACUCAUUGUCAUGGGUGACAAUACCAGCAAAUAUUGUCCUAAAAGAGAGAUGAAUUUCCCCUCUUCCUCACAGGCAGUCAUGUGGAAAGCCAUCAUCACAUACCGAUGUUGACAAUAACUGUUCUAUGCAGAGUAUUUUAGUGGACAUAAAAAUGGGAAGAAGGCGGAAUUAAGUCUACUGGGAGGGAACUAACUGCUGCUGUAGGAAAUACAAAAAGUUAUCACAGAAACAGAGUGGAGAAAGUAACUGAGAGGGUCAGCUGGCAGGGUAAGAAAACCCUUAAUGCAAUAAACAACAGUGGUCCUAUGUAUGAAAACAAGCUGUGUUCAAAAAUAAAGUUCUAAACUUACCACAAACACACACACCCCAAA